AAGCAUUAAAGUGAGAGGAGAUGAGGAGGAGGCUACAAAUAAUAAAACGGUCGAUAUGAUCGAAACAUUUUGGGAAUACGAUUUGGAAGAAAUGCGAG